UAAAAUAAUUGUAAGCAUAACUGGUAUUUGAGUUGCAGUGAUGUUGUAGAUUAAUUUUCAUCUUCAGUUGUUAUCAGAAAGAAGGGAGUUUGUGUAUUUACAGGACUGCACUGGCAGGGGACAUUGAAUGAUGGUGUUACCCGGGACCAUGUAAGAUAAAAUGAAGCUUUGGUUUUAUUUCAUAUCUUUUUAAUCCUACGUUUAAUACACAAAAUACACUCUGCAAUUUAAAUUGUAUUACAUGUAUGUGGUUUGCUUUCUGCGGUGCAAUACUGGAACUCUUUUUCACCAUAACAAUUCACCCCAUAGGCCAGUUGGAGGUUUUUGUUUAGAACUGUAUCGCUGUGGCCAUCCCAUCCACAGUGAUUGAUGGCUGUACAAAAACUGUGUGUGCCUCCGUGAAACAUGUACUCAUCUCCUUCUUCUCUGAAGCACAUUUGUAGAAAGGUGAGCAGGGGAAAUAUUCACUGGUUCGGGACCAGUGUCAACAUGGUCAUAUGAACAUGAAUUAAAAUUUUCAGAAUUAACUCGGCAUUAAGUAUUUUUUUUUAUACAUGCUUACUGUAUCUUAAAAAUAUUAGUAUGUAGAUAAUGCUUUCUACACUGCAAAAUGUUCAGUGUUUAAUCAGUUUGACUCACCUAAAUGGAAUACAGUAUAUUCUAAUAAAAUGCAUUAUAGAUUCCGUUAUCUUCUAUAUUCCAUUAUAAUUAUUGUGGAGAUUAUUUGUGUUUUUGGUGGAUGAACACAAAAUUUAGGCAAAUGUACCAUACUGCCGUGCUAAGGCAAAAGCCUUAACUUCAUUUUUUGGUCGAAAAUGAGUUAUUGUAAUUUUUGGAAAAUUAAAGAUCUGCUUUAUUGUGUGGACAAAUAUCUUGAGUGAAUUUUGUUGUUUUUUUGGAGAAAAUAGUGGGUUGUCUUUACCGUAACUUCCAAAUGCCCUACAGAAGCCAAGGCAGAAUCCCGUAACAUCAGUUACGGUUCUUUGUCUUUGUUUCGCUGCACUCCGGAACGAUGAAAUUGAGUUAAGGUACUCUGCCUUUGUUUUGCUGCGCAUCAAAGUGAAGUUACUGUUUAUCGCACUGGAGUUACGGUGUUACGCCUAUGUAUCUGUCAUCGAAGCAUUUCUGACACACACACACACAGUAGCUUGAAUAAAGUGUAAAGCAAUUAUAGUGUUGCAGUGGUUAUCUUUACUAACGUUACAUCUAGCUUUUAAGAAUGGCCCAUUGCUUUCGAUGGAAAAAGUUGGUGGAGAUGGCUUUGGAACCCAGACACCAAGAUCAAGGUAAGAAAGAUUAGGCUACAAGAAAAAUAGAUAGAUAAAUACAUGGAUAGGCAAUCUACUAAAAUGACUAGUUAGCCAGCUAGCUAGCGCGAGCUAGGAUAAUGACUUAUCCUUAUAAGCACAGAUAAGCUGAAAUAGUGUUAGCUAUGGCUCUGCAAAACAGGAAGGUUUUUGUCAUGGCCUGUACCACUGUGCCCCACUGUAUCACAGUGAUAAUCCUCCACACAAAAACCUCCUGGUGUAAAAACCCAGCUCAAAUACCACCACUCAGAGGGUCAGUGCUCUGAAAUUUCACUCAGUGCACAAAAUAUUCAGUUAACUUCAGUGGUGGGGAAAAUUUACUUCAAUAAAGUGCAGGUGCUUUUGCCGCUUUUAAUUUCUAGACAGCAUUGUUUUGGCUGCUAUGCCUAGUUUCAUGGUGUUAUUCAGCUUUUCUGUGUCAGUUACACAGAACAUACACAGGGCGCACACCCAACAGUUGCACAAACAAACAGUCAUUAGUUUACCAGCUGCAAAGAAAGAACAGCUCUGCAUGUGUAUUAUAUAUGCAUUCAUUUGAAUUAACUGGAACAUUUUCGAUUUAGAAAACAUAAAACAAAAAAUAUGUAUAGCAAACUAAAGUCAAAUUUUAGGUUUAUCCAACAAUGCUUAUUUUUUGUGUCAGAAAAUGAACAGCGCUGAUGCUUAGCUGUAAGGGUCUCAAUUGGUAGUAGUAGUCAAUAUAUAAUCUUAUUGCCUAUCUUAUUGCAAGCCUCUUCCCCUGCCACCUCAACUCCCCACACAUCCCCAACAGAUUGAGCAAAUUGGCGACCUGAGAGAAUCACCUAAAGCAGGGGUGUCAAGCUGAAUACUCAAAGGGCUGCAGUGUCUACAGGUUUUUGUGGUUUCCUUUCCAUCAGCUGCCAAUUCAGGCCUUGAGAACAAGGUGUGUGGAUUUUUUUUUUUUUUUUUUUGCCAAUCAACGGCUUAAAUGAACCACUGGUGCUAACAGCCAUCAGCACCAACCAUCAGCAGACACUGCGGCUCCUCCAGGACUGGGGUUUGACACCUGUGAGCUAAAGUCUCCUUCAGCGUCUCUGUAUGUGUACAAACUGCUGUGGAUUAAAGGCUGCAAAUCAAAGGAAAUAUUUAUGGGAUCCUGGCUGAGGACUGAGCCUAAUCAGGAAUCAAAUUUCUGUUUUUUAAAUACAAAAAAUCAAAAUUGUGCGGAAGGGAAAGAAAAAUUCUGCGUCUACAUUCUGUGACAGACUGUUUAUUCCCAUUACUGUGAGUAUAAAUUACUUGUAAGCAUAAUUGGUAUUUGAGUUGUAGGGACGUUUUAGAUUAAUUUUCAACUUCAGUUAUUAUUAGAAAGAAGGGAGUCUGUGUAGUUACAGGACUGCACUGGCAGGAGACAUUGAAUGAUGGUGUGAUACAGGACCUCAUAAAAAUUUGUUCCAUUUUUAAUCUUUAAAAUCUUGAAUUUCAUACACAAAAUACACUCUGCAUAUUAUAUUAUGGUGUUUUUUUUUUUUUACAUGUACAUGGGUUGCUUUCUACUGUGCAGCACUGGGACUUUUUUUCGCCAUAAAAAUGCACACAUAGGCCUGUUGUAGGUUUUUGUUUAGAACUGUAUCACUGUGGCUACCACCCCAUCCACAGUGAUUGAUGGCUGUACAAAAACUGCACACCUCCAUGAAACAUAUAUAUUCACCCCCCUUCUUUUUUGAAGCACAUUUUCUAUGUUUUUGUAGAAAGGUGAGCAGGGGAAAUGUUCACAUGACCAUGUUUUUACAGGUCCCAGACCACUUCAAUGAUCCUUUAUGGUGAGAAUGUCAAUAAAAAUGAAAAAAAUAGGGCACUUUUUUAUUUUGAAUUUUUCCAAUUGAACCACCCUUGAUGCUUCUGAAAUGAAUAAAUUAAAUACAUGGAAAAUUAAAUAAACAGAAUAAAAACAUCCUCCAACAUAUGGUAGUGCUAGUCUUAACUUAGCAUGCAGCAUUUAUUUAAUAAAAGCUGUUCAAGUAUCUAAGUGAUAUACUAUAAACGCAAGUAGCUUUCUACACCGCAGAAUUUUCACUGUUUAAUAAGUUCAACUCACCUAAAUAGAGCACAGUUUAUUCUAAUAAAAUGCAUUUGAUUGCUUUUAGACUGAUAUACUGUACUUGGUUAGUGUUGAUUUAAUAUUGAGAAUCUUGUUGUGUUUAUUUUAAAAGGGGGAUAUCUGUAUAAUAACUUAGUAGAGCCUUGAAAUACCAAGAAAUACGAAGCAAAUUAUGAAAAUGAUGUUCUAAAAAGUAUGAAUGGAAAUGCUUUAGUCUUGAUGACUAAUAGGUUUUACCUGAAAUUUAAUCUUUGUUACAUUUACAUUUACUUUGUAAAGAAAAUAUAAUGGCCAAAUUGCAUUAUGGUUUCCAUUAUAAUUAUUGUGGAGACAUGCUGUUAUUUGGAUACAUACGACACAUUUGAUUACAUUUUGUGUUCACCCACCAGAAACACAAAUAAGAUUAUUGAUUUAAAAAAAUCAGCUGCAUAAUAUUUACACCAAACAGACUAGUUAAUUGUCACAAUAAAUACGUUUAACAAGUUUAAGAGAGUUACAAUCAGAACAAUGCAUUCUAAACAAUCCAGGAUGUUAGAGGUGAUAAACCUACUUCAGCACACAGCUUUAUUAAUGACUUAUCCCAAUAAUCACUGAUGAGCCCGUAAGCUGAAAUAGUGUUAGAUAUGGCUCUGCAAAACAGGAGGGUUUUUGUCAUGGCCUGCAUCACUGUGCUCCCGCUAUAUCACAGUGAUUAUCCUCCAUACAAAAACCCAGCUCAUCUACCACCACUCAGAGGGUCAGUGCUCUGAAAUUUCACUCAGUGAACAAACACAUACGUUAUUAUACGAAAGAAGGCAAAAUGACUGUUUGGUUUCAUUUCAAAUCUUUUAAAUCUUAAAAUUCAUGCAUAAAUCUGUAAUACCUUCUGCAUAUUAAAUUAUAGAAUGUUUUACAUAUACAUGUUUUGCUUUCUGCACUGCAAUACUGGGACUCUUUUUCACUGUAAAAAUGGCCAGUUGGAGGUUUUUGUUUAGAAAUGUAUCACUGUGUUAAUCCCCUCAUCCACAGUGAUUGCUGGCUGUACAAAAACUGCACACCUCCAUGAAACAUAUAUUCACUCCCUUUCUUUUUUGAAGCACAUUUUCUAUGUUUCUGUAGAAAGAUGAGCAGGGGAAAUGUUCAUAUGGCCAUGUUGACCAUCUCAAUGGUCCUUUAUGGUGUUUCUGUAAAAUGAAAAAUAGCAAACUUUUUUAUUACAAUUUAUUUUUCCAAUUGAACCACCCUUGGUACUUCUAAAAUGAAUAAAUUAAAUAACUGGAAAUUUAAAUAAACAGAAUAAAAACAUUUUCCAACAUAUGGUAGUGCUAGUCUUAACUUAGCAUGCAGCAUUUAUUUAAUAAAAGCUGUUCAAAUAUCUAAGUGAUAUAAUGUAAACGCAAGUAAUGUUCUACACCGCAAAAUUUUUACUGUUCAAUCAGUUCGGCUCCCCUAACUAAAACACAGUUUAUUCUAAUAAAAUGCAUUUGAUUCCUUUUAGACUCAUAUACUGUAUUUGGUUAGUGUUGAUUUAAUACUGACAAUCAUGUUGUGUUUAUCUUAAAAUCAGGAUAUCUGUUUAAUAAUUUAGUAGAGCCUUGGUAGACCAAGAAAUAUGAUGCAAAUCAUGAAAAUUAAGUUUAAAAAAUAUGAAUGUAAAUGUUUUUGUCUUUAUGACUGGUAGGUUUUACCUGAAAUGUUAUCUUUGUUACAUUUGCAUGUAAGAUGUAAAGAAAAUAAAAAGUUGGAUUAUAAAUUCCUUUAUCUUAUUAAAUAUGUUUCUGGUGCGUGAGCACAAAAUGUUACUAACCAUAUGCAGCCAAAUUUCACCAUAAUGUUAAAAAUCAGAACAAUGCAUUCUACACAACCCAGGAUGUUGAGGGAAUAAACCAAUUUCCACACAAAGCUUUAUUAAUGACUUAUCCUAAUAAGCACUGAUGAGCCCAUAAGCUGAAUUAUGUGUUAGCUAUGGCUCUGCAAAACAGGAGGGUUUUUGUCAUGGCCUGUAUCACUGUGCCCCCGUAGUUAUCACAGUGAUAAUCCUCCAUACAAAAACCCACAAACGUAAAAACCCAGCUCAUCUAGCCCCACUCAGAGGUCCAGUGCUCUGAAAUUUCACUCUGGACACAAAAUGUACAUUUAACUUCAGUGGUGGUGAACAUUUACGUGGAUAAAUAAAGUACAGGUACUUUGGCUGCUUUUAAUUUGAUGACAAAAGCAGAACAUCGAGAAUACAUGGUUCUGCAUUCUACUCCACGAUGUAACUGCAAAUACAGUGAACAAUAUCCACCAGAUGGGGGCAGCAAUGCUUCUCACAAGAGAUAAACCUGCCCUUCGGAAUUCACCAGCCCUUUUAUUUCAGAAAAUGAACAGCGCUGAUGCUUAGCUGUAAGGGUCUCAAUUGGUAGUAGCAGUCAAUACAUAAUCUUAUUGCCUGUCUUAUUGCAACCCUCUUCCCCUGCCACCUCACCUCCCCACACAUCCCCAACAGAUUGAGCAAAUUGGCGACCUGAGAGAAUCACCUAAAGCAGGGGUGUCAAGCUCAAAGGGCUGCAGUGUCUACAGGUUUUUGUGGUUUCCUUUCCAUGAGCUGCCAAUUCAGGCCUUGAGAACAAGGUGUGUGGAUUUUUAUUUUGCCAAUCAACGGCUUAAAUGAACCACUGGUGCUAACAGCCAUCAGCACCAACCAUCAGCAGACACUGCGGCUCCUCCAGGACUGGGGUUUGACACCUGUGAGCUAAAGUCUCCUUCAGCGUCUCUGUAUGUGUACAAACUGCUGUGGAUUAAAGGCUGCAAAUCAAAGGAAAUAUUUAUGGGAUCCUGGCUGAGGACUGAGCCUAAUCAGGAAUCAAAUUUCUGUUUUUUAAAUACAAAAAAUCAAAAUUGUGCGGAAGGGAACGAAAAAUUCUGCGUCUACAUUCUGUGACAGACUGUUUAUUCCCAUUACUGAGCAAAUUGGCGACCUGAGAGAAUCACCUAAAGCAGGGGUGUCAAGCUGAAUACUCAAAGGGCUGCAGUGUCUACAGGUUUUUGUGGUUUCCUUUCCAUCAGCUGCCAAUUCAGGCCUUGAGAACAAGGUGUGUGGAUUUUUUUUCUUUGCCAAUCAACGGCUUAAAUGAACCACUGGUUCUAACAGACAUCAGCAACAACCAUCAGCAGACACUGCGGCUCCUCCAGGACUGGGGUUUGACACCUGUGAGCUAAAGUCUCCUUCAGCGUCUCUGUAUGUGUACAAACUGCUGUGGAUUAAAGGCUGCAAACCAAAGGAAAUAUUUAUGGGAUCCUGGCUGAGGACUGAGCCUAAUCAGUAAUCAAAUAUUCUUUUAAAAAUACAAAAAUUCUAAAUUGUGCGGAAGGGAAAGAAAAAUUCUGCGUCUACAUUCUGUGACAGACUGUUUAUUCCCAUUACUGAGCAAAUUGGCGACCUGAGAGAAUCACCUAAAGCAGGGGUGUCAAGCUGAAUACUCAAAGGACUGCAGUGUCUACAGGUUUU